CUUAACAGACAUUUGGAUUGUUUUACCUGUGUCUUUGUGGCUUUUGUGUAUAGUGCUAUUAUGAACAGGUAUAUAAAAGCUUUUAUUUAAAUACAUUCUUAAUUAUUUUGGCUAUAUAUCCAGCAAUUACUCUGGCGAGUCAAAGAGUUUAGAACAGCAACAACGAAAAGCAUGCUGGCCACAGCUCACCAGACUGUCUUUGCUGGCCACAGCUCACCAGACCGUCUUUGGACCAAAACUCUACCUUUAAACUAAUACGCAGAAUGUUGAGGGAGGCCCAGACUGGCCAGCCCAUGGCAAUCCGUUAUUCAAGAAGAUACUCUACAAGCCAGUCUGACAGAGGCAAUUCCUCCACCUAGCUUCCCUUUACCCAGGCGUCUCUAGUUGGCAUCAAGUUGACAAAACCUACCCAGUGCAUCCUCUCUCUAUAACCCACCUACCCAGUGUACCCAUCAGUACAUUUGAAGUGGUGUGAUUUACAACCUUUUUAUUGUUACUACAAAAAAAUUCACAGCACUGUAACAUCACUGGAACACGGACUUAGGGUAACUUAAAUCUAUAUUCCUGAUGAUGGCCACCCAUAUUUGACUGUAGAAUAAACUAUCUCUUAUCCC